rnacentral:rRNA from 1 species
UGCCAGCAGCCGCGGUAACACGGGGGGCGCAAGCGUUGUUCGGAAUUACUGGGCGUAAAGCGCACGUAGGCGGAUUAGUAAGUUAGGGGUGAAAUCCCGGGGCUCAACCCCGGAACUGCCUCUAAUACUGCUAGUCUUGAGUUCGAGAGAGGUGAGUGGAAUUCCGAGUGUAGAGGUGAAAUUCGUAGAUAUCAGGAGGAACACCGAUGGCGAAGGCAUCUCUCUGGGCCGAUAUUGACGCUGAGGCGCGAAGGCGUGGGUAGCGAACGGGAUUAGAUA